rnacentral:rRNA from 1 species
CAAGGGGCCUUGCCUCAGUACGGCGAGUGAAGCGGCAACAGCUCAAAUUUGAAAUCUGGCCUCUUUGGGGGUCCGAGUUGUAAUUUGUAGAGGGUGUGGCGGGUUCGGCUCCGGUCCAAAUUCCUUGGAACAGGGCGUCAUAGAAGGUGAGAAUCCCGUACGGGACCGGCGGCUAUUCACAUGUAAAGCCCCUUCGACGAGUCGAGUUGUUUGGGAAUGCAGCUCUAAAUGGGUGGUAAAUUUCAUCUAAAGCUAAAUAUUGGCCAGAGACCGAUAGCGCACAAGUAGAGUGAUCGAAAGAUGAAAAGCACUUUGGAAAGAGAGUUAAACAGUAUGUGAAAUUGUUGAAAGGGAAGCGCUUGCAACCAGACUUGAUCGCGGCUGCUCCUCCCGGUUGGGGCUUCGGCGGUUCCCGUGGGCAGGACCUCACUGGUUGGGGCUGAAGGUUAAAGGACUUUGGUAUGUUCCGGGACUGGUGUAGGCUGAUACCGGAAGACCAUAGGCUACCUGAGGGGACCGAUCUCCGCGCAUCUGCUCGGAUGGUGGCUCAAUGACUGUCAUCGACCCGUCUACCCACCACGGACCA